GGCUCAGGAUGAACGCGGGCGGCGUGCUUAACACAUGCAAGUCGAACGAGAACCCUGAGGGUAACUUUGGGGGGACAGUGGCGAAUGGGUGCGUAACACGUAGGUGACCUGCCCUCGAGCGGGGGAUAACGGUCCGAAAGGAUCGCUAAUACCGUAUGCGGUUAUGGGAUCAAAGCCAUAACGAAACUCACGGGGCUCGGGGAGGGGCCUGCGGCCCAUCAGCUAGUUGGUAGGGUAACGGCCUACCAAGGCAACGACGGGUAGGGGCCUGAGAGGGUGACCCCCCACACUGGCACUGACACACGGGCCAGACUCCCACGGGAGGCAGCAGUGAGGAAUAUUGCGCAAUGGGCGAAAGCCUGACGCAGCAACGCCGCGUGGGCGAUGAAGGCCUUCGGGUCGUAAAGCUCUUUUCCCAGGGAAGAGAAGGGACGGUACCUGGGGAAUCAGUCACGGCUAACUACGUGCCAGCAGCCGCGGUAAAACGUAGGUGGCAAGCGUUAUCCGGAUUCACUGGGCGUAAAGCGCACGCAGGCGGCUCGGUAGGUAGGGCAUUAAAUCUCCUGGCUUAACUGGGAGGGGCUGUCCUAUACCGCCGGGCUUGAGGAUAGGAGAGGGAAGUGGAAUUGCCGGUGUAGUGGUGAAAUGCGUAGAGAUCGGCAGGAACACCAGUGGCGAAGGCGGCUUCCUGGCCUAUUCCUAACGCUCAUGUGCGAAAGCUAGGGGAGUGAACGGGAUUAGAAACCCCGGUAAUCCUAGCCGUAAACGAUGCAUACUAGGUGUCGGUGGUAUUGACCCCAUCGGUGCCGAAGCCAACGCGUUAAGUAUGCCGCCUGGGGACUACGGCCGCAAGGUUAAAACU
rnacentral:rRNA from 1 species